UCCUGACGGUAGUCGUAUGCUCGUCUCCGAGACUAAGCCAUGCAAGUCCAAGUACACGUCCUUGAACGACGGAAACUGCGAACGGCUCAUUAAAUCAGUUGCGAUCUACUCGGCGUUCCGCGCCGCCGGAUAACCGUAGUAAUUCUAGGGCUAAUACGUGCGAAGCGCCCGAAGCCGCGAGGCGACGGGCGUUCUCGCCGGAUGUAGGAACCGACCCGGGGACCGCCGGGGCAACCCGGCGCCCCCGAGACGGGGCGAACCACGGUGAAAUGACGGAUCGUCGGCCCCGCGCCGGCGACUCGCCGAAUGAGUUUCUGACCUAUCAACUCGAGACGGCGGGGUAGAGGCCCGCCGCGGUAACGACGGGUAACGGGGAAUCAGGGUUCGAUUCCGGAGAGGGAGCCCGAGAAACGGCUACCACUUCCAAGGAAGGCAGCAGGCG
rnacentral:rRNA from 1 species